UACAGAGGGUGCGAGCGUUAAUCGGAAUUACUGGGCGUAAAGCGUGCGCAGGCGGUUCGCUAAGACCGAUGUGAAAUCCCCGGGCUUAACCUGGGAACUGCAUUGGUGACUGGCGGGCUAGAGUAUGGCAGAGGGGGGUAGAAUUCCACGUGUAGCAGUGAAAUGCGUAGAGAUGUGGAGGAAUACCGAUGGCGAAGGCAGCCCCCUGGGCCAAUACUGACGCUCAUGCACGAAAGCGUGGGGAGCAAACAGG
rnacentral:rRNA from 1 species